UUGUCUUAGUUACUUUUUCGUUGGUUUUCAAACCUCCUUCCUUAAGAAAUGUGGACUGUUGCUUCACUAACCUUGUCCGUUAUCUAUAAUAUUUUCUACUUUGGAGAGAGUAUAGGCGAGAACAGAACGAGCAACAACAAAAAAAAUCUACAAAGCCUGGAUAAGGCAGAAGGAAAUGAUGAAAGACGCCAAGCCCAGAUAAAAUCAGCAACUUGAUUUGUUUUUGACCAUGCAAAGGGGAGGAAUGUCAGGAAUUCACGGCUGGUUAGAGGACACAGACUUUUCACCUCUUGCCAGUCAAUGGGGCGAGUUAAGGACGUACUGCGGCGUGUGGAAACAUCCUUAGGACAGAAGGGAAUCAUUUGGACGCGGAAAUCACCGUCCCAGUUUAGUUCCAGAAGUUUUAGCAACAUGUCGAUGUUCUGCUGUUCCUUUGGUCCCUUCCCGCUUUGCUCUUGUGUUAAAAGAGACAUCCAGAGCUUUGUUUCUGUUUUCAGUCCGCGUUGUAUUAAUACAAACAGUGACUUACUGGUACUCAUCUUGCCUGCCUCUUGCAUUGCAACUUUAAAUGGAAAUAUAAUGACAUGCGCCUUCUUGUCCAUACAUUAACAAAUGUGCCCCCCAUCCCCACCCCCACAAACAGGCUACUUCUUUUUAUCUGUAUAUUCAUAUAUCUACAUAUAUCAAUGUGUUUCUAACAAAUGUGUCCGUUCAACACAUUGCACGUUUCCUUAGACGCCAGGCUCAUUCUUUUCCUCGCUUUCCAUUUCUCAGAGAAGACCCUCCAAUUUUGUAGCAGUGACCACAAAAACUUAGCUUUUCAACUUUACCUUUUCGGUUGAAUUCAGGUUAAAUUGCCUGAAGAUCCAUUUCGCCGUUUGGUACGGUUGGUACAAUAAGCAUCUUUACAUAAUUGCAAUGAACACCGGUAUGGGUAUCCAUACUCCCAGAAGUAUGCAAAGUGCUUCAAAGUCACAGUUGUUCCUGGCAAAUCUCUCACAUUCAUUUGUGUAAAAAGAAUUGAGUCUUUUGCUUUGGGGAGAAGGGGUGUGCAAACGAUGAUAUUGCAUUAUUUACAGUACAGCCAAACUAUGUUUAAGAACUUUAAAUUGUGUUCAUUAAAAAAAAAAGACC